CUCCCGCUGGCAGGCCCGGUUGCCUCACACACACCACCGAGCGGCAAAGCUCAAAUUUGAAAUCGGCCACCAGGUCGAGAAGAAAAUUGUAGAUUGUAUCUUGAGAGCGGAUUAAAGUUUGUUGGAACACAGCGCCUUAGAGGGUGACAGCCCCGUAAAAUCUAUUCUCAUUGUAAGAUACUUUCGAAGAGUCGAGUUGUUUGGGAAUGCAGCUCUAAGUGGGAGGUAAAUUCCUUCUAAAGCUAAAUAUUGACGAGAGACCGAUAGCGAACAAGUACUGUGAAGGAAAGAUGAAAAGCACUUUGAAAAGAGAGUGAAAAAGUACGUGAAAUUGUUAAAAGGGAAGGGUAUUGAAUCAGACUUGGUGCUGUUGUUCAACUGUGUUUCGGCAUAGUGUACUCAGCAGUACUAGGCCAAGGUGGGGUGUUUGGGAGUGAAAAAGAAGUAGGAAGGUAACUCUUCGGAGUGUUAUAGCCUACUUUCAUAGCUCCUCAGGCGCCUCAGGACUGCGCUUCGGCAAGGACCUUGGCAUAAUGAUUCUAUACCGCCCGUCUUGAAACACGGACCAAAA
rnacentral:rRNA from 1 species